UCCGUUAUGGUGUAGCGGUGAACAUUAUCGCCUCUCAUUCAAACCCCGCGAUAGCCCCAGGUUCGAGUCCUUGUAACGGAA